rnacentral:lncRNA from 1 species
CAAGAAGAGGGAGAGUCCUCAGAGAGUCCUCUCUCUCGGCAUGGACACAAAAGAAAAGCAUGUGAGGACACAGAGAGAAGGUGGCUGUCUACGAGCUAGGAAGAAAGGCCUCACCGGAAACCAACCCUCACAGCAGCUCCAUCUUGGACUUCCAGCCUCCGGAACUGUGAGAAAAUAAAUGUUUGCAAUUCAGGGAGCUCCCCUCAGCAGCAGCGUUUGACAGAGCUGUUCACUUCCUCUUCCUGGAGCUGUGGCUUCCAGAGCCCAUGCUCAGCAGUUCCCCUCCUUCUUCCACUGCUCCUCUCUUAGGCUCAGAGCCACUCAGACAUUGGGAAGCAAGUUUGUCAAGAUGACAGAGAACCGAGGUAAUGGAUUCGAGUGAUGAAACAGGAAGUUCAUUCAUGAGUUUUUGGCCACACCUCCAAAGUGACGACUUAGCCAGAAAUGGGAUAACUGGGUUUCCCUACUUCUCUUUUAUCAUCCUCAAUGAGAGUGACCAAAUAUUAGAGCUAGAUGGAACCUUAGUGAAAAUCUGGCUACUCGUCCCGUCCCACCAGCCUGCCACCCAUUUCAAGUUUGAAGAGACAAAGACACAUGGACCUUAUGUAAUUACUGGGGAUUACCCCAGGAGUCUGUGGCAAAAGUCAGCUUCUUCCCUCCCUGCUUCCCCGCCCUGUCUCUGGUGCUUUCUACCAACACUGGGCUGUUUCUGUGAUCAUACUUAAGCGUACCUAACCUGUGAAUGCUGUAUAGAAGGUGCUAAUGAACAUGAUUUAGCUUUAACACUCAGUUUUCUAAAGGGACACGUGGGGGCAGCAAAUGUUUAGGGAAAAACAAUUCCAGUUCUAGCCUCUACUGUCUACAUAUGUGUAUACAUUUUGGAAACGUUUGGAAAAGGGAUAUUU